rnacentral:rRNA from 1 species
GACGAACGCUGGCGGCGUGCCUAAUACAUGCAAGUCGAGCGCAGGAAACUGACGGAACUCUUCGGAGGGAAGGCAGUGGAAUGAGCGGCGGACGGGUGAGUAACACGUAAGGAACCUCCCUCAAGGAUUGGGAUAACUCCGAGAAAUCGGAGCUAAUACCGGAUAGUUCAACGGACCGCAUGGUCCGCUGAUGAAAGGCCCUCCGGCGUCACCUUGAGAUGGCCUUGCGGUGCAUUAGCUAGUUGGUGGGGUAACGGCCCACCAAGGCGACGAUGCAUAGCCGACCUGAGAGGGUGAUCGGCCACACUGGGACUGAGACACGGCCCAGACUCCUACGGGAGGCAGCAGUAGGGAAUCUUCCACAAUGGACGAAAGUCUGAUGGAGCAACGCCGCGUGAGUGAUGAAGGUUCUCGGAUCGUAAAACUCUGUUGUAAGGGAAGAACACGUACGAGAGGAAAUGCUCGUACCUUGACGGUACCUUACGAGAAAGCCACGGCUAACUACGUGCCAGCCGCCGCUGUAAAAC